UUACUUCCCGAGCGUAAGCUAAGAAAGUAUAGUAAUCAAGUCCAUUGGCCGAAUUUCCACUUUCAUAUUUUCUCGACGUGUCAUGACCUCUAGAUUACGAAAAAAGUGGUCUCCCGUUUCCGUCUGUCUGCCUGUCUGUCUGUCUGUCUGUCUGUCUGGUGUCUGUAUCCAUUUUUAUUAGACAAGUAAUCUCCUCAACUACUGGAUCGAUUAUUGUCAAAUUUGGUAUGUAUAUUAGGAAUACCAUCUAGAUGAUGCUAACUAAAAUUUGGCUAAUCAUCCUCACCACCAAUUAGGAUGAUGUCAUCUCCAAAAUUUAUAAUAAAAACUUUUUUGAAAUUUUAUAAAAUAAGAUACUCCUGCACUUGUGGUGUGUGAAUCCGUGUCGAAUUUUCUCCCCAGACAUCCAGAAUAUUUAGAAAAAAUUCAAAACUGAAGAACAAUAUUUUGCAAUAUAGCUUUGAAACUGUAAAACCGAAUGCUCUGAAAUCUCGUAAAUAUUUUACGGUUAUCGUAAUCAUGGUAAAUCGUUAAGUCAUUUAUCCCCUCCCAAAAAAUUGAUGACGUCAUCACAAAAUUUUGCCGAGUAAAUCCUAUCCAAAAUAUACAAAACAUGAUGAGUAUAUACUUGUGAUGUAUCAUCAUUGGUCGAUAAAACGUAAAAGUAGAGAGUCCGCCGACGGGCUCGAUUACAAUACUUCGCUUACGCUCGGGAAGCAAAAAUGCUUUUCAAAAUUUUGAAAAUAUUUUUAGUAACACAAGAAAUAACAAACUUAUGAAUUAGUAGCUAAAGAAAUCAGUUAAAAUCACCAAAUACAACCCUAUCCUACAAAAAUAAAGCUAUAAUUUAUCUCCUCUGUAAUCAAAUUCGUGACUAUGAAAGAACAACAUAAAUAUCGGCACGACUGCAACCAGUAGCGUUCACUAGUUGAAAUAAAAUUACGAUGAAGAUGUUUGGAUUAGGGCGAAUAAAGCAUCGGGAAAACGAGAGAUGCCGAACGUUUUCAAGUACCAAGCGUAGCCGCCGCCGCCGUCGUCGUCGUCGUCGUCGUCGUUUCAACCCCGCGCCAGUUCCGUAAUCGACGUUGCUCUUGUUGGUGGAGUUUCUACGAGUGCUUAUGCGUGUUUGCACACACGCACUGAUUGGAACCAACGCGUUAUUAAAAUUUGUGCUUUUUUCCUACAAUAAUUCAGCUGAUAGAGUCCGAUCGUCGAGGAGCACCAGCAACUUUGUAAAAAUGCUAGCGAUAUGCACGUUCCGGAAUAUCUGGAGACAGUGCUGAUCACAGUACUUGGGAGUAUCGUCAUCAUUGUUCUACUAUUAUGUUAUGCUCGAGUAUUUCGACACAUUUGCUGUCCUCCGCGUCCACCAAAGAACAAUCAUCGACAGAAAUGUAGAAGAGAAUCUAUUUCCCUUAAAUAUAUCAUGCAUCUAUCAAACCAACCCACCGAAACAAGUGUAGUAUAAUUGGUUAAUAAUGUUAAAGAACUUUAAAUCAGAAAAUAUUUUGCACAAGGCCCAAAGAUGUUUAUAAUAAGAAGUGCUCGGCAUCGGUAAUAUAAGUGAGGUAAUAAGCUAAUAAGACUGUACGUACCAUAACCUAGCCAUAUAGCAUGUAAAUAUUAAUAUAUUGUGAAUUAUGUGUACUUUCUGUUGCAGAAAGAAACGCCGAGAUUUUAUAUGUUUUGUUAAAAUGUAGACUAAAAUAAAUAUUUUUCAGAUCUAA